rnacentral:sRNA from 1 species
UGAUUAUAUCAGCACCUAUUUGUCAAGCUAAUAAAGUAUUUCCUUAUUGAAUUUAAUUUUGUAUAGACCACACCCUCUUUCAAAAUCUCACGGGUAAUGGAGCACAGCAUCAGUCUUUAUGAAAACAUGAUGGGAUAUAUAAUGGCAAAACUAGAGUGAGAUAAAGGCUCUUUCGGAAGAUGUGGUAAGAAAAUGGUUCAAGCUUCUUUGUUCUAUUCAUUAUGCAACAUGACUAGGGUAGGAUCUGUAUAAUGUCUCCUUUUCUGAUGCUCUUGUUCUUAACCUUUUGGCCUACCUUUAUUUCACAAUAUUAUAUCAUCAACAUCGGUAGACUUUUCGAUCUCUCAUAUGGCAGUAACAAUCAAUCAGUUCUAUUACUUUAACAAAAAUG